GACGAACGCUGGCGGCGUGCUUUACACAUGCAAGUCGAACGAUGAAGGAGAGAUUGCUCUCCGGAUUAGUGGCGAACGGGUGAGUAACACGUGACUAACCUGCCCCUUUCUCUGGGAUAACGCUCCGAAAGGAGUGCUAAUACCGGAUACGAACUCUGAACACAUGUUCGGAGUUGGAAAGUUUUUCGGAAAGGGAUGGAGUCGCGGCCUAUCAGCUUGUUGGUGAGGUAACGGAUCAACAAGGCGACGACGGGUAGCCGGACCGAGAGGGCGACCGGCCACGCGGGGACUGAGAGACGGCGCAGACUCCGACGGGAGGCAGCGGUGGGGAAUAUUGCACAAGGGGCGAGAGCCUGAUGCAGCGACGCCGCGUGAGGGAUGAAGGUCUUCGGAUUGUAAACCUCUUUCAGUAGGGACGAAGCGAAAGUGACGGUACCUAAAGAAGAAGCACCGGCUAACUACGUGCCAGCCGCCGCAGUAA
rnacentral:rRNA from 1 species